UCUUUUUUUCCUCCAAACCUUCAAAACACCAGAAUCCUCCCUAACACCCCUCUCACUCACCUCCCUCAUCACUCUCACUCUCAAUCUCUCUAUCGCUGCUCUCCCAAACUUUGACUGACAAAAGCUUUCAUACAAGGCUUUGCUGAGAAGCUGAAAGAGGGAGAGAGAGAGAGAGAGAGGGAGAGAGAAAGAAAGAGAGAGGGUGGAUCGUUCGGGGAAGCCAGAGAAGAAAAAGAAAAAGAAGGGGAGAAAAAUCCUCGAGGUGAAAUCUGCUAUCCAACAAGCCCAGAGAAGUUUGGCGGUCAAUAGGAAUGAGGCAAUGGCUGUUGCAGCUUUGCUACAGCUUGUCGAGACUUUGCAGCUUAAUCUAAAAGCUGCAAUUAAGGAAGAUGCAGAUUGGUUCGGACGUUUCAUGCCUCUCACAUAAGAGAUAAUGGGAUUGGUUAUAAAUUGAUCAUUAGUUAAGUUGAUACAGCAAGUUAUAGAUGAAGAUGGCUCUGUUAAAGACUCUGCGGUUUGUUCACUGUUACCUCACAGAAUUUUCAUCAUUGCGGUUAUGCAUAUUGUGACACCUAGGACUUUAUUGAUUUACUCUAGUUGAGAUGGUUUCUGUGAUAUGUAGAACACUAGGUUGAACUUUUCUAUUUUUGGUCAAUAGCAAUGCUUCUUGAGCAAUAUUCAUUUGUUAAAAGAUCCUGAACUUUCUAUUGUUUCCCUUUGAUCGACUGAUCUAUAUGUUCUAAAUAUCAGUAUCAAUAUUUAUGAGUAUUUCGUGAUUCCAAUGAGCAAGUUGUAA